rnacentral:sRNA from 1 species
UCUGAUAAACACAUGUUUUACUGAAAGACUACAGGUAUUUAAAUGACGAUAAAGCUAAAAAGAUUAAUCUAUCCGACCAAUAAAAUCAUCAAACGAUGUGCUUGAAUCGUUCGUUUAAAUUUCAGAUUUAUUACAAAAUGAAAUGUUUGAAAACUAUUUUCUCGAAAUUCAACGACAAAAUAUCCUUUUACAUUAGGACUUCAACAAUGGUUCUUUUUUAAAACAACUGUGAACAAGAAAUAUUACUGAAUUAAUCAUAACAACGACAAAGCUUAUUAAAUAUAUCACGUUUCAUAUCAUUUUCAUAUUAUUUACCAAAUCCAACAUUAGAAAUGUUGUAAGACAAGAUAUCAAUAAAUGAUAAUGUUAUAUAUGUACUAAGUAAUUUAUAAUAUAGCUCUUACCUUUUACUUGGGUUGUUUUUUUUUUUUAAAUCUGCACAUGGAAGUGCAUAUUAAUGGUUACUAACAAAAGUAACAUGAGAUAAAAAAAAAAUAGGAAGAAGAAAUAGGUUUUAAGACAUAUAAAUUUGCAUGACAUUAUUUCUUUAAUUUUUUGAAGAUCGGUCACAUGAUUAAGAAAUCUCAAAAUAGUGGUGUCUAUCUUUCUAAUUUAUCAUUUUCAUUUCGUUUUCCGUUGUUUAAACAACUGUCAUGAUACAUGUAUGUGUUAUAUAUAAAAUGGCAAAUUAAAAAAA